rnacentral:rRNA from 1 species
AACGAACGCUGGCGGCAUGCCUAACACAUGCAAGUCGAACGCCUGCAGCACUGCAGGAGUGGCAGACGGGUGAGUAACACGUGGGAAUCUACCCAGUAGCUCGGAAUAACCGCGGGAAACUGCGGCUAAUACCGGAUAAGCCCCGAGGGGGAAAGGAGCAAUCCACUAUUGGAGGAGCCCGCGUCUGAUUAGCUAGUUGGUGGGGUAAUGGCCUACCAAGGCGAUGAUCAGUAGCUGGUUUGAGAGAACGACCAGCCACACUGGGACUGAGACACGGCCCAGACUCCUACGGGAGGCAGCAGUGGGGAAUAUUGGACAAUGGGGGAAACCCUGAUCCAGCAAUGCCGCGUGGGUGAUGAAGGCCUUCGGGUUGUAAAGCCCUUUUGUCGGGGACGAUGAUGACGGUACCCGACGAAUAAGCCCCGGCUAACUUCGUGCCAGCCGCCGCCGUAA